GGCAUCGGGGGGUUGUGUGUUCCGAUUUUUAAAGUUUGUCAGGCACUGCAAGCAAACGGGGACUAGGUCAGGGAAUUGGGUAAUUAGAUAAAAGUGGCAUCAGCUAAAUGAUAAGUCUGAUGCUAUUUCAUGUUUUUCUAUUUUCAUCAAUUCUCAUGAAAAGACUAACACUAACAACGUGUUGGUUCAUCUCGCACGCAAAAUUCUUUGACUUUCCUAAGAUGACGGUGACACUCCAAUUCCAUUGGUUCCUGCCCAAGAUGUUCAUGUUUAAAAGAGCUAUGCAGAUAUAAUUAAUUUGAAACAAAACAAGAAACAGCUGGCUAUUGUAGUUUUACAUUGUUACUCAAACAGGAGGAAUGAGUGUAUUUCUUGGGGACUAUAUUCAACGGCGGAUUAAUCCACAUUGUAGUUUUAGUGUUUAUCUCAGGCAGCAGGAUGGUGUAUGUGCUACUGAAUCUAAAUAUACCACAGUGUGUGUGUGUGUGUGUGUGUUUUCAUGAUAAUGAAUGAACAUGUCACGCAGUGCAAGAGUGUGACUUAAUUUAAUUUAAUUUUAAGCUUUGUGGGCCAGAGGAAGAUUUUAUCAGGCUUUUAGUGCGUUGUAUUUAUACUCAGAAGUCGGAAACACGCCCCCCUGAAGUUUUCAUUAUCAAACACGGCUGCC